GGGCUAUGCUUGUCUGGUGUAUCAAAAGAAAUCUAGAUAAGAGAAAUACUUUGCUCCCUCCUCUGACUUGGAACUAUUCAUUGCUGCAGCUGUUAGAGUUCAUCAUCCCACAGUUUUUCCCCAAAGCAGUCGUUUGUGGGACUACUGCAAGCCAGAUCAUGGAAAUGGAGCAGGUUACAGGCAAACCUACAAAAUGUGUUAAGUACUCUGCCAACCUGGCUCCCCUCAGCUGCUGGCACUUCCAACCACCCACGCUUGUCAUCCUAGGCAUGAAAGAGAUGAAGUGCAAUGAAGCGUUGGAACAUGGAGUGAUUGCUAUCACAGACACAGUGCACACCUGAAGUGUCACUGCUGGGCUCUCACCUGCUGUUAACCAGGAAAAUUUGGUGCCUAAUAUUUUUAUAGUAUUUACUAUUAAAUUAAGAUGGCAUGUAUAUGCAUAUUAAGGUAGAUAUCAGUAGUUUGCUUAUGCAUACUAAUUUUAACUUUAGAAAAAGACAUCAGAAGAUAUGGGGCAGCAUUAUAGAAGAGUUUUCAUAUUAAAUACUCUAAAACUUCAGAACUUUAGAAUUGUACUGUAGUUUUAAUUCUAGAGAGCACUGUUAUGUUAUAGAAACGAUCUAGCUUUGGAAGUAUUUUUCAAGAUUUUUUGGAAGCUUAAACCAAUGGUAAUCCAAAACACUUACAGGCUAUGUAUUGCUGUUCUUGGUGGUUUUAGUUUUUUAUGUUAACCAUCUUGUAUGGCUUGUCUUUUUUAGGGAACACAAAUUCUGGUUUGUUGAUUGGUUUUUAUUUUUAAUACAAUGCACAUCUUCUAGCUUCUCCUGCUACUGGAAAGUUUUCAUAUUGACUAGAAACAUGCACAGCUUAAGAAAGAAGCACUGCAGAUUUAGAUGGGAUUAAAUACGUUUUCUAGAAUAGGGAAUUCUUGUGAGUUCGUGUCCAUUAAAUUAUUUUAUUUGACUUAUAUACCCUUCUUCUGAACUGUUAUGGUCUAGCAGCCCUUUAAGAGUGGGGAAGGGGAAAAAAGUCAGAAUUCAGGCUCUAUCAUUGUUCAUUUGGCUAAAUAAAUAUGAAAAAAUUGUAGUAAAAGAAGCUCCUCUAGUGGAUUGACCACAUUAAACAAAUAUCCUAGUAUUUAACUCAUGGGUAACAAACUGUAGGAAAGCCAGUGGACUCAGGUUAUUCAGUUAUAGAAAGGA